UAUUGGGCAAUGGAGGAAACUCUGACCCAGCAACGCCGCGUGAAUGAUGAAGGUCUUCGGAUNUUAAAGUUCUUUUCUAAGGGAANNCANNNGNUACGGUACCUUAGGAAUAAGCCUCGGCUAACUACGUNNNANANGCCGCGGUAAUACGUAGGAGGCAAGCGUUAUCCGGAAUGACUGGGCGUAAAGGGUGCGUAGGUGGUUUGACAAGUUGGUAGCGUAACUCCGAGGCUUAACCUCGGCACUACUACCAAAACUGUUGGACUCGAGUGCAGGAGGGGCAAAUGGAAUUCCUAGUGUAGCGGUGGAAUGCGUAGAUAUUAGGAGGAACACCAGUGGCGAAGGCGAUUUGCUGGACUGUAACUGACACUGAGGCACGAAAGCGUGGGGAGCAAACAGG
rnacentral:rRNA from 1 species